UACGGAGGGUGCGAGCGUUGUCCGGAAUCACUGGGCGUAAAGGGCGCGUAGGUGGCUUAGUAAGCGUGUGGUGAAAGCCCGGGGCUUAACCCCGGGUCUGCCGUGCGAACUGCUAUGGCUAGAGUACUGUAGAGGCAGGUUGAAUUCCGGGUGUAGCGGUGGAAUGCGUAGACGAGUCCGGAAGAAUACCGGUGCGAAGGC
rnacentral:rRNA from 1 species